UGGCGACCAUAUCACGUUGAAACAAUGGUUCUCGUACGUUCACUGAAGUUAAACAACGUCGAACCUGGUCAGUACUUAGAUGGGUAAAACGCUUGAGAAUACUAGGCGCUGUAA